GGGUGCAUGGUCUAGUGGUAUGAUUUCUGUUUUGCAAUGCCUCGGCACCCGGCUCUACAGACGGUCCCGCGUUCGAUCCGCGGUGCAUCCA